rnacentral:rRNA from 1 species
CAACAGGGAUUGCCCUAGUAACGGCGAGUGAAGCGGCAGCAGCUCAAAUUUGAAAUCUGGCCCUUGGGUCCGAAUUGUAAUUUGUAGAGGAUGAUUUUGGUGCGGUACCUUCCGAGUUCCUUGGAACAGGACGCCUUAGAGGGUGAGAGCCCCGUACGGUAGGAUACCUAGCCUCUGUAAAUCUCCUUCGACGAGUCGAGUAGUUUGGGAAUGCUGCUCUAAAUGGGAGGUAAAUUUCUUCUAAAGCUAAAUACUGGCCAGAGACCGAUAGCGCACAAGUAGAGUGAUCGAAAGAUGAAAAGCACUUUGAAAAGAGGGUUAAAUAGCACGUGAAAUUGUUGAAAGGGAAGGAUUUAUGACCAGACUUUUUCUGGGCAGAUCAUCCGGUGUUCUCACCGGUGCACUUUGCCCAGUUUAGGCCAGCAUCGAUUUCCGGAGGGGGAUAAAAGCUUUGGGAAUGUGGCUCCCUCGGGAGUGUUAUAGCCCAUUGUAUAAUACCUUUCUGGGGAUCGAGGUACGCGCUUCUGCAAGGAUGCUGGCGUAAUGGUUAUCAAUCA